UCGGAUGUGGUGCACGGUGCACAUCAGCUUAAUAUAUUGUAAGGAGAAAGUCGAAGGCCGGGGUUCGACUCCCCGCAUCCGAA